UUGCUUGGUGGUAUACGGCUGGGAUAAAUUGUAUAAAUUUGCUCAGCCGCGGAUUUAUACUAUGUGUGCAGGUGCUAAUCGGAAUAGGCUGGCUACUCCUAGCAUCAAUAAAGAGUCUCGCAAGCUUAGAUGCCUAAAGUCUGUUGAACAAUGUUUCAUUUAUCUUUGAUCCGCCUGUGGAUCCUUUACUUUCCGUUUGUA
rnacentral:lncRNA from 1 species